rnacentral:tRNA from 2 species
GCCGGCUUAGCUCAGCUGGUAGAGCAACUGAUUUGUAAUCAGUAGGUCGGGGGUUCAAAUCCCUCAGCCGGCACCA